rnacentral:rRNA from 1 species
CCUACGGGCAGCAGCAGUAGGGAAUAUUGCUCAAUGUGGGAAACCCUGAAGCAGCAACGCCGCGUGGAGGAUGAAGGUUUUCGGAUUGUAAACUCCUUUUGUUAGAGAAGAUAAUGACGGUAUCUAACGAAUAAGCACCGGCUAACUCCGUGCCAGCAGCCGCGGUAAUACGGAGGGUGCAAGCGUUACUCGGAAUCACUGGGCGGAAAGAGCGCGUAGGCGGGAUAGCAAGUCAGAUGUGAAAUCCUAUGGCUUAACCAUAGAACUGCAUUUGACACUUUUAUUUUAGAGUAUGGGAGAGGUAGGUGGAAUUCUUGGUGUAGGGGUAAAAUCCGUAGAGAUCAAGAGGAAUACUCAUUGCGAAGGCGACCUGCUAGAACAUAACUGACGCUGAUGCGCGAAAGCGUGGGGAGCAAACAGGAUUAGAUACCCUUGUAGUC